UACAGGGGGUGCAAACGUUGCUCGGAAUUAUUGGGCGUAAAGCGCACGUAGGCGGUUCGUUAUGUCAGAUGUGAAAGCCCUUGGCUCAACUGAGGAAGUGCAUCUGAAACUGGCGAGCUAGAGUAUGUAAGAGGGUCGCGGAAUUCCCGGUGUAGAGGUGAAAUUCGUAGAUAUCGGGAGGAACACCGGUGGCGAAGGCGGCGACC
rnacentral:rRNA from 1 species